AUGAAGAACGUAGUGAAAUGCGAUAACUAAUGUGAAUUGCAGAAUUCAGUGAAUCAUCGAGUCUUUGAACGCACAUUGCGCCCCCUGGUAUUCCGGGGGGCAUGCCUGUCCGAGCGUCAUUGCUGCCCUCAAGCACGGCUUGUGUGUUGGGCUCCGUCCCCCCGGGGACGGGCCCGAAAGGCAGCGGCGGCACCGAGUCCGGUCCUCGAGCGUAUGGGGCUUUGUCAUCCGCUCUGUAGGCCCGGCCGGCGCCAGCCGACAACCCAUCAUCCUUUUCAGGUUGACCUCGGAUCAGGUAGGGAUACCCGCUGAACUUAAGCAUAUCAAUAAGCGGAGGA
rnacentral:misc_RNA from 1 species